ACAUGCGCCCUGACAGCCCAACAAUGGCGGCGCCCGCGGAGUCGCUGAGGAGGCGGAAGACUGGGUACUCGGACCCGGAGCCUGAGUCGCCGCCCGCGCCGGGGCGUGACCCCGCAGGCUCUCCGGCCCAUCUCCACACGGGCACCUUCUGGCUGACCCGGAUCGUGCUCCUGAAGGCCCUAGCCUUCGUGUACUUCGUGGCAUUCCUGGUGGCUUUCCAUCAGAACAAGCAGCUCAUCGGUGACAGGGGGCUGCUUCCCUGCAGAGUGUUCCUGAAGAACUUCCAGCAGUACUUCCAGGACAGGACGAGCUGGGAAGUCUUCAGCUACAUGCCCACCAUCCUCUGGCUGAUGGACUGGUCAGACAUGAACUCCAACCUGGACUUGCUGGCUCUUCUCGGACUGGGCAUCUCGUCUUUCGUACUGAUCACGGGCUGCGCCAACAUGCUUCUCAUGGCUGCCCUGUGGGGCCUCUACAUGUCCCUGGUCAAUGUGGGCCAUGUCUGGAGGCAGCUGGCUUAGGGCUGAGUGGUCGGAACCAGGACCCUGUCCCAGGAUGGAAGGCUGCAGUGGU
rnacentral:sRNA from 1 species